rnacentral:rRNA from 1 species
CUACGGGAGGCAGCAGUAGGGAAUAUUGGUCAAUGGACGCAAGUCUGGACCAGCCAUGCCGCGUGCAGGAAGACGGCCCUCUGGGUUGUAAACUGCUUUUAUAUAGGAAGAAACCCCUGAAUGCGUUCGGGGCUGACGGUACUAUAUGAAUAAGGAUCGGCUAACUUCGUGCCAGCAGCCGCGGUAAGACGAAGGAUCCAAGCGUUGUCCGGAUUUACUGGGUUUAAAGGGUGCGUAGGCGGAUAUUUAAGUCAGUGGUGAAAUCCCAUAGCUCAACUAUGGAACUGCCAUUGAAACUGGAUAUCUUGAAUACGGUUGAGGUAGAUGGAAUAUAACAUGUAGCGGUGAAAUGCUUAGAUAUGUUAUAGAACACCGAUUGCGAAGGCAGUCUACUAAGCCGUGAUUGACGCUGAGGCACGAAAGCGUGGGGAGCGAACAGGAUUAGAUACCCUGGUAGUCCACGCCCUAAACGUUGAUUACUCGCUGUUGGCGAUACACUGUCAGCGGCUAAGCGAAAGCGUUAAGUAAUCCACCUGGGAAGUACGACCGCAAGGUUGAAACUCAAAG